AUCUUUGGUUAUUUAGCUUUCUGAUUGCCCGUACAAACAUCAUAAAGCUAUUUAACCAAAUUU
rnacentral:pre_miRNA from 2 species